UACGGGGGGGGUAAGCGUUGUUCGGAUUUACUGGGCGUAAAGGGCGCGUAGGCGGCCAGCACAAGUCAGUUGUGAAAUCUCCGAGCUUAACUCGGAAAGGUCAACUGAUACUGUGCGGCUAGAGUCCGGAAGAGGAGAAUGGAAUUCCUGGUGUAGCGGUGAAAUGCGCAGAUAUCAGGAAGAACACCCGUGGCGAAGGCGGUUCUCUGGGACGGUACUGACGCUGAGACGCGAAAGCGUGGGGAGCGAACAGG
rnacentral:rRNA from 1 species